rnacentral:rRNA from 1 species
UACGUAGGUGGCAAGCGUUGUCCGGAUUUACUGGGCGUAAAGCGUGCGUAGGUGGUCUUUUAAGUCCGUUGUGAAAGCCCUGGGCUCAACCUGGGAAUGGCAGUGGAUACUGGAAGGCUGGAGUACGGUAGAGGAGGGUGGAAUUCCCGGUGUAGCGGUGAAAUGUGUAGAGAUCGGGAGGAACAUCAGUGGCGAAGGCGGCCCUCUGGACCAGUACUGACGCUGAGGCACGAAAGCGUGGGGAGCAAACAGG